AUUGAACGCUGGCGGCAGGCCUAACACAUGCAAGUCGAAUGGUAACAGGAAACAGCUUGCUGUUUCGCUGACGAGUGGCGGACGGGUGAGUAAUGUCUGGGAAACUGCCUGAUGGAGGGGGAUAACUACUGGAAACGGUAGCUAAUACCGCAUAACGUCGCAAGACCAAAGAGGGGGACCUUCGGGCCUCUUGCCAUCAGAUGUACCCAGAUGGGAUUAGCUAGUAGGUGGGGUAACGGCUCACCUAGGCGACGAUCCCUAGCUGGUCUGAGAGGAUGACCAGCCACACUGGAACUGAGACACGGUCCAGACUCCUACGGGAGGCAGCAGUGGGGAAUAUUGCACAAUGGGCGCAAGCCUGAUGCAGCCAUGCCGCGUGUAUGAAGAAGGCCUUCGGGUUGUAAAGUACUUUCAGCGGGGAGGAAGGGAGUAAAGUUAAUACCUUUGCUCAUUGACGUUACCCGCAGAAGAAGCACCGGCUAACUCCGUG
rnacentral:rRNA from 1 species